rnacentral:tRNA from 1 species
UGGGGAUUGGUGUAACGGUAGCACGGUUGACUCUGAAUCAAUUAGUCAAGGUUCGAAUCCUUGAUCCCCAG